rnacentral:lncRNA from 1 species
ACCGAUUCAUCCAAAUUGAACUCUUGGCUUGAACAGAACUAUCUUUGGGUAGAUCUUGUAAACUUUUGGUUGUUCGAAUAAGAUUUUGGUUUAAAGUAGACCCAUAUCCAUUUACAUCCCGGGGCGAAUCUAGGGGGCUCAAAAAAAAAUUAUAUUACAUAAUUAUAAACCCUAUAAUUCUAACUAAUAUUGUUAUAGACCCAAACCCCAGUAUACUUUAUGUAAUUUAUUAUAGGUCAAAUAUUCAUUUGAUUUUGUAUUUUAUGAAAAAUUUAAGGUAUAGUAUAAAAUAUUAUAUAUAAUUUUUUUUUAAAUUACCAUAAAAUUUUCAGGCAUGUCCGCCCUGGUGUCUCUGGGUACGUACCGUCUAUGCCGUCCGAUGUUGAUCUUGUAGCCGUCACCAUCGGGCAGUGUCGUCCCUGACAAAUUGAUGAAUUUAGCCACGUCAUGACACAUAUCCCGU